GACGAACGCUGGCGGCGUGCCUAAUACAUGCAAGUCGAGCGAAGUUUUUCUGGUGCUUGCACUAGAAAAACUUAGCGGCGAACGGGUGAGUAACACGUAAAGAACCUGCCUCAUAGACUGGGACAACUAUUGGAAACGAUAGCUAAUACCGGAUAACAGUAUUUCUCGCAUGGGAGAUAUUUAAAAGUUGGUUAUGCUAACACUAUGAGAUGGCUUUGCGGUGCAUUAGCUAGUUGGUGGGGUAAAGGCCUACCAAGGCGACGAUGCAUAGCCGACCUGAGAGGGUGAUCGGCCACACUGGGACUGAGACACGGCCCAGACUCCUACGGGAGGCAGCAGUAGGGAAUCUUCCGCAAUGGGCGAAAGCCUGACGGAGCAACGCCGCGUGAGUGAAGAAGGAUUUCGGUUCGUAAAGCUCUGUUGUUAGGGAAGAAUGGAUAUGUAGUAACUAUACAUAUAA
rnacentral:rRNA from 1 species